AGAUGAGAAGAAGGGGAUGUCUCCGUCCGGCUUCUCUGCUCCUGAUGCCACAACAGGCUGGAUCACUAGCCCUUGCAUGAGUCAAAUGUUGUGACCCACUUACCUAGAUGGAGGGAGCGGCGAGUCUUCCCCGAGGAAGGAUUCAUCUUCCACUGAGGAAGGAUUUGAUGUCUUCUGUCCAAGAAGUAUUAAUGCUGUUUAUGCUGAUCUGACUUAUUUACA